rnacentral:rRNA from 1 species
GAUGAACGCUAGCGGCAGGCUUAACACACGCAAGUCGAGGGGUAUAGUUCUUCGGAGCUAGAGACCGGCGCACGGGUGCGUAACGCGUAUGCAAUCUACCUUUUGCAGAGGGAUAGCCCAGAGAAAUUUGGAUUAAUACCUCAUAGUAUGUGAGAAUGGCAUCAUUUUCACAUUAAAGUCACAACGGCAAAAGAUGAGCAUGCGUCCCAUUAGCUUGUUGGUAAGGUAACGGCUUACCAAGGCAACGAUGGGUAGGGGUCCUGAGAGGGAGAUCCCCCACACUGGUACUGAGACACGGACCAGACUCCUACGGGAGGCAGCAGUGAGGAAUAUUGGACAAUGGGCGCAAGCCUGAUCCAGCCAUGCCGCGUGCAGGAUGACGGUCCUAUGGAUUGUAAACUGCUUUCGUACAGGAAGAAACACUGGUUCGUGAACCAGCUUGACGGUACUGUAAGAAUAAGGAUCGGCUAACUCCGUGCCAGCCGCCGCGGUAACAC